rfam:Gossypium arboreum cultivar AKA8401 contig_45500_1, whole genome shotgun sequence.
AGUUAAAAUUUCCAUCCAUUUUUACUUUUAAAAAUUAGCAUACUUGAUGGAAUAACCAGUCAAUUACACCUGGCGUGCCACAUGUAGCUCAUGUCAAUGUAUAUGGACCAAUUUUUAAUAAUAAAAAUGAAUGAAAAUUUUAACA